UGGUAGAAAUCACACAUAGCUGGAUGUGGAAAAAUAAAUAGUGCUGAAGCGUUGUUAUUGUAAUUAAAAGAUCAGUUGAUUUUUCAGGAAACUACUUCUUCUUCACAAAUGUCUUUAAAUAGUUCGAACAAUACUUUGUCAACCUACUGGCAAAAUCAAACAGAAACCGUCAGUGAAAUACUGAAAAGGCUAGUCCGCAAUAUUCGCUAUGCUAGCCGUCGUUACCGUACUGUUCGAAACGAAUACGAUCGACUCCACGAUCCAAUCAUUUCCAAAGCCUAUUCCACAAUGGCAGCUCGGAGUUCGCCCUGUGAUGGAAAACGGCCUUUUCUAGCAUAAAAGAGUUUUUAUUUCUUUUUAUAUUCAAACUUCUAAACGAGAAACUUCAGGAAACUUCGAAACGUACCCAGGCCUAUUAGAUUUCUUCGGCUGAAAUUGUAAGAAAGUAUGGUGAGCUUCAAGAUGGAUUCUCUUCGUGAAAUAAAUAAAUGUAUAUAUACAUGUACAUAUAUAUUGUUGACGAUUGUCGCUUGAAAAUUUUAUUGACGCGUUGAAAAAUUAAAAUUAUCCGACAACUGACUGGCUUCCAAUGCUGAAAGCAAUAGGCCCUAUUUAUCGUGGAUUCAGCAUCAGUUUCUUCUGUUCUCGAAAAACAUUCAUUUCCAUUGACCCUUACGGAAAAAUCUCAUACAAAAUCUUAAAGAAAUACACGAGAACUAACUGAGA